AGAGCCAAUCCGCCAUUUUUUCUUCUCGCUAAGAUUUUUUGUAGUCCUAUUGGAAAAAUGCAGAAUGUCUGGUUAUUUUAGCCACACACAGCUCAAAACUGUUCCUCGUUUUAAGGAAGGGUGGUGUGGCAGUAUUUAAACCCAGGAGCUGAUGACACUACUGCUAAAAAAACACAGAAGAAAAAGUAGUGUGUUUGCGUUUGUUUGUGUGUGUGUGUGUGCGUGCGUGCGCGCGCGCGCGUGGUUCGUUCGUUCUGUCUCCAGGCUAGUGGCUAAGUACUGAGGGCUUCAUCUAUCUAAAAGGAGUCAUUUCCAUCUGAAUGUGGCAGCACCGGGACACAGCAGCAGAGCGAGUCCACAUUCAGAAGACUGGAGCCGUGUUUCACUGACAGGCUGUCAGACUAACGCCCUGAUGAGCUCAGCUGGGACAAACUGGUCUGAUGUUUAGGAACACAGAACGUUCAGAUGUUGGCGUUUCACGUCACCUACUGAGGAAGGAGACCCACCAGUAAAGAGACGGUCUGGACCAGACCAAAAAUAUGGCGAUGACAUCAUGGAACUGGUCUUUGGAAAAGUUUUCCCUGAACCAACUCCGUUUCUAGAUGAGGUAGAGAAGAUCUGCAUCUCACCAACUCUCUGGUCUCAGUAUUCAGACAACGGAGGUCUCCCACUGUUGUCCAGGACCAGUUUGAAGCCCACAUACUGCCCCUCCCUCAUCAUCAGGAAACAUCAAUCCGUAUCCUGAGGACAACAGAAGACGGCAGGAGGACAGGAACUCUGAGACCUAGACACCACCAGCACCGAGACACAAAGCACCUGUGUGCACAACGCCUGUUUUAACUACUAAAGCCUGUUUAUUAUAUUGUUCUACUUAUUUGCUGUGAGGUUAAUACUUAGAAAAUUUGUAUAUUAAUGUAAACAAUAAAAAAAAUCACUGAUUGUAUGCUUUCUUUUAGAUGUAAUGGUCCAAACUCAGCCUUGUAGACAUUUAUUGCAUCCUGUAGGUAAAUACACAGAACAGGCUCAGAUCCAGGAUGACCCAGCAUGCUCUUCUUCCAUUCUGGCUGUUAGGGAUUGUAUCAAUAACUCAAUGCCUACUGAUGUUUUCACCUAACGGUAUUUAUUUAGAAUGCAGGUAAGAUUUAACUAUAUUUGUUAGCAAAGCAGACUGAUCUUGGGAAUUUCACUGCAGCACUGAUGUCCACCUCUCUGUACACAUUAGAGAGAAUUACCACUUUACAGCUAAACACAUUUAAUAAAGAUAUAGGCUACGCAUUGCAGACAAUAAAAACAAAGUUGUAAGCAUUAGAAUUAUAAUGAUGACAUUAAAGAACACUUGGAGGAAUGUUCUUUAUUUUUGACUAGAAUCUCAAAUCUUUAAAUUAAAAUGUAACUGCUUUUUAUCCAUUUUCAGCCAUUAAGACACCCAAUAUAAAAUAAGACUACUUAUAAAAUUAUUUAUAAUUAUAUGUAUGUAUAUAGAUAGAGAUCUUAAUAAAAUAUAUUCUUUGAA